CAGCAGCCGCGGGAAUACGGAGGGUGCAAGCGUUAAUCGGAAUUACUGGGCGUAAAGCGCACGCAGGCGGUCUGACAAGUCAGAUGUGAAAUCCCCGGGCUUAACCUGGGAACUGCAUAUGAAACUGUCAGGCUGGAGUCUUGUAGAGGGGGGUGGAAUUCCAGGUGUAGCGGUGAAAUGCGUAGAGAUCUGGAGGAAUACCGGUGGCGAAGGCGGCCCCCUGGACAAAGACUGACGCUCAGGUGCGAAAGCGUGGGGAGCAAACAGGAUUAGAUACCCCAGUAGUCCCUGUCUCUUAUAC
rnacentral:rRNA from 1 species